UGCUCUCUGCGGUGUUUGCCAGAGAAAUCGCAUUAUGCCUUGUCCCUAUUUUUUCACCUCGGGACAGCAACUUCCGGUGCCGGUGCGCACAUUCGUUAUGCGAAUAGCCUGAAGGCCCGGAGAGCUUUCCCACCUGAACCUCCUGGUUCAAGGUCCCCGAUUUCUCAGCGGCAUUCGCGGAGGGCAC
rnacentral:other from 1 species